GAGACUGAGUAUCAGAUGUUCCUCAUAAUGACUGUGGAGGCCUAGACAUGUAAGAAAUCAGGACCCGGUUACUCAAGAUAAUCCACAGACUGUAUCACUGCCCAGAAAGAAGUUUGCAUCUACUCAUGGACUAGAGUCUCGUGCUUGUUACAGUGCGAGAUAUAAACAUUAAUGGCGUCCUCCUCAGCUGAGCUGUAACUUCAACAGCUGGUGAACGAGAAUACAGGAAUCACCAGGGGGCUCUCUCCAUAGUAGAGCAGGCAAAGAGGUGACUCCCCCACUCUUUCUCAACUUCCCUGGCUCUGUUGCUCCCUUCAGCAAACAACGGACAAACCCUCAUUUCUCCGAUCAUUCCCCCCACCUUCCUUCCUUCCCUGACCCUAUAUCCCCUCAUCCCUACAUCCCUCGACCCUCUUCCCUUCAUCCCUACUUCCAUUGAACCUCAUCUCCAUCAUGCAUCAAACGUAAUAAACUAAU